AUGAGGCGCGCCUAGGGUUCCGCUGCAGACGCAGGUCUGGUCCGAGAGGUGCAGGCGACCGGCAACGGUGCUGGUCGCUCCACGGCGGGACAAAAGCCCGGGAGAC
rnacentral:sRNA from 2 species